rnacentral:tRNA from 1 species
CGUUAAGAAGCUAUGCACCAGCACUAGCCUUUUAAGCUAGAGAAAGAGGGCCACUCCUCCCUCCUU